UGCUGUGGAUGCAUUUUUAUUUUUACUGUUGUUACACUCAGUCCUGGAGAGCCACCAUCUUCAGGUUUUUGUUUUUUUCCUCAAGAUCAGCAACAGAUUCAGACCCUAGAAACCAGGUGACUUGAGUUCACUGUGAAUUAACAGCUUUGACUGAUCAAUUUCUGACCUACUGAAGUUCUGAGUAACAACUAAAGCCAGCAGCUCUGCAGCUCGCCAUGACCAGGACCUCACAAUUCCUCCAGGAGAUCUCUUGUGUCCUGAACAGCCAGGCAGCCAUGCCAUGUGUCUGCUCUCAUAAGCUCCAUUAUACCAGGAGGUCUACGCAGCUUCUAAAGCAGGGCCAUUGUGUGGAGCGACUACACGUUCCAAGAUAUUUUCCUUCCAGACAGAUGUUGGUGCCAAUGUAAUACACAGGAGGAAACCAGAGUACCCUGAGUAAACAUGCAAACUGAACACAGAAAGGCCCUGGCCAGGACCUUCUUGCUGUGAGGUGACAGUGCUAUCCAUUGCACUAGCUAGCCACCACUGGAUUUAUGCACAGUGGCCUUAUUUCAUCUACCUUGUGCCAAUAACGUCAUUACAUUUCUCAGCCAUUAUUGCAUAUUUUACCCGGGCAUGGUCAGUGGUGCAUACAUGCAUCUGUCUAAAUGACCAUAACUACAUCCACAUUGCAUAUCUAAACCAUAUCUCU